rnacentral:misc_RNA from 1 species
GAUGAAGAACGUAGCGAAAUGCGAUACUUGGUGUGAAUUGCAGAAUCCCGUGAACCAUCGAGUCUUUGAACGCAAGUUGCGCCCGAAGCCAUUAGGCCGAGGGCACGCCUGCCUGGGCGUCACACGUCGUUGCCCCCCCAUCUACUCCUUCGGGAUUGCGGGGGGCGGAUGAUGGCCUCCCGUGCGCCUCGCCGCGCGGUUGGCAUAAAUGCCAAGCCCUCGGCGACGCACGCCACGACAAUCGGUGGUUGCGAAACCUCGGUUGCCCGUCGUGUGCGGUCGUCGCGCAUCGAGGGCUCGAAAAAAUUGCCGGGUUCCGGCUCGGCUUUCAACGCGACCCCAGGUCAGGCGGGGUUACCCGCUGAAUUUAAGCAUAUCAAUAAGCGGAGGA